AAAAUAUAUCUAUGAACCAGUAUAGGAAAAUACCUACAUUCACCAAAAAUAUGUUCUCCAAACACACCUGGUCCCUGGAUGCAUGUUUCAGUGAUGAAGGUGUGGAAUGGAGCAGCAGCACAUGGGGAACCUCCAGCGGGGCUCCACUGCGUGCAGCAGAAGGCAGCAGGGCUGGAGGGCUGACAGCACGACUGAGGUAUGACUCCGCUUGUUUGGAAGCCACUGAAUUCCUGCUGAAUUCCAGCUUGGAACCUGGCUUCCUGUCCCUGGGCAGCCCUGCAGUUCCCACCAGUGGCACUUCACCCUCAGCAUGUUCUCCCAAGCAGGGAGCAGCACUCAGAUAUGUUUGUUUGCACUAUAUCAUCUAACCUAAUCUGUACGGGAAGUAUAUUUAUCCUAGAGCAGUGGAGCAUUUGUACUGCUUCCUUGUCACCAAGAAUAAUGGAGAGGAAAGAAGCUGCCUCCUGCCUUUUUUUGGUAACCAGCCCUUCUGCAGCAUCGGAGCCUGAGCAGGAGCACCUGGGAGCCUCUUCAGCUAUCCUUCAUACCCACAGGGGACAAUCCGAACACUUGGAACUUAAUACAGAGGCAGCAUCCUGCCCUGGCAUCUGCAGGGUGUGGAUCUCUGUUGUCCGCAGUCGUACCCACCCCAUCCCUUGGGUGCUUACUGGGCUGGGAGAAGCAAAAGUUGGGCCUUUGAAUUGACCUGUGGGCAUCCUGGGACUCAGGUCACGCUUCAGACGAUGUGGAUGAGCAGCACAGAGUCCUCCAGCAGUUGUGUCUCAAGGACAAGCACAGGGCUUCUGAAGAGCAGCACAUCUUUGCAGACGCUACUGACAAAGUGGAUGUAACAAAGUUUCUUUGAAAGGGAACGUUGUCCCAUCUCCUGCUAAGCACAGACUGGAAGCAGGGCAGAGCAGGCCUUCCCAGUGGCUGCAGUCCAUGGAAGCUGAGGUGGCACUGCACAGCAUGCAGAGCCUGGGCAGAGCACACACAGCCAAGCAGCUCUUCAGGGAGACACCAACUGAGAUGUGAGGCAGUCCAGCCUUGCAAGGGAUGCGCCUCUCACUUCAGGAGAAUGGAAGGGUAUUAGACAAAAAAUACGAUCUGGGGGACACAUGGGACACAACCCUGAUUUCUUUACAUAUCCUUUUACUUUGAGUGCCAGUGCUACAAUCCCAGCAACGUAGAGAUGCAACAUUACUGUGCUCACCUUGAGGAACAGAGGUGAUCCAAUCCCUAGAUGGAAGUAAUUGUUAUAUUGAAAAGUGACAUUUGGGUGACAUUUUCAAGAUAGCAGAAGAAUAGUAAUAAAGAGAUUUUUAUGGAGUAGCACUGCUUAACCACCCAUUUCCAUGCGCCUUUGAGAAGUGCAGAUGUGUCAUCACCCCCUGACAGAGGCUUGGCAGAGCUGGAAGGACACUGGAUGAUGCCUUCAGCCUCUGAGCCUUAAGUCUCAGCAUAGCAAAACUCAGCAGAUAGUUCAGUACGAGCCCUUAACAAACUUAUGUGGUUCUGGCAAGGAACCGUAGGGCUCACCCUCGGGCUGUGGUGCAGCAUCUUGACCA
rnacentral:lncRNA from 1 species